GACCUCAAAUCAGGUAGGACUACCCGCUGAACUUAAGCAUAUCAAUAAGCGGAGGAAAAGAAACUAACAAGGAUUCCCCUAGUAACUGCGAGUGAAGCGGGAAAAGCUCAAAUUUAAAAUCUGGCGGUCUUUGGCCGUCCGAGUUGUAAUCUAGAGAAGUGAUGCCCGCGCUGGACCGUGUACAAGUCUCCUGGGAUGGAGCGUCAUAGAGGGUGAGAAUCCCGUCUCUGACACGGACUACCAGUGCUUUGUGGUACGCUCUCAACGAGUCGAGUUGUUUGGGAAUGCAGCUCAAAAUGGGUGGUAAAUUCCAUCUAAAGCUAAAUAUUGGCGAGAGACCGAUAGCGAACAAGUACCGUGAGGGAAAGAUGAAAAGAACUUUGGAAAGAGAGUUAAACAGUACGUGNAAAUUGCUGAAAGGGAAACGCUUGAAGUCAGUCGCGUUGGCCGGGGGAUCAGCCUCGCUUUUUGCGUGGUGUACCUUCCGGUUGACGGGUCAGCAUCAAUUUUGACCGGUGGAAAANGCAUGGGGAAUGUGGCAGCUCCGGCUGUGUAUANCUUCAUGUC
rnacentral:rRNA from 1 species